UUUGCUAAGAAGAAUAUUUUACUAAAAUUGGAACGAUACAGAGAAGAUAAGCAUGGCCCCUGCACAAAGAUGGCACUUUUCCUUUUUCAAGUUUCCAAGUUUUGU